GGAUUGCAAUGUAGCUCCUCUUUUUCUUCAUUCUCAUGAGCCCUGUCCAAUGCCUGCACCCUACUAAGUGCAGUAAUCCAGGAAGCAAGGGAGACUGGCAGCUCCAUGGCUCCGCCACGCCCAGCCAUGUCCCCUUCUGUGUGGAAGCAUGAGAGAACGCAAGUGGAACAGAUGGGCGGCUUACAGGACACACAGGUACAGGCUAGAGGAAGGGGCUGCUGGCUCACACAAUCUGCAGGUUUUCCACAUGCAGGCCAGGAGGGAGCACCGGCUGUAUGAAGCAGUGCAAGUACCCAUGCUUCUGUUGGUCCCACAAUGCUAACAGUGAGCCCCAAGGCCCCCAGACAAGCUGAGCUCCAGACACGUGGCACUGACAGAUGGCUCUGUUAGCUGAGGUCUGUGCUCCACCCUCUCUGCUUCACCUGCAACCUCCUCCAACCCUCAGGACAGACAGCCUCAGAGGUUCAAGGGUAUUCAGAGCCGCAGGGGCAAGGGUGUUGGGUGUUUUGUCCCAGCAACAAGAAAAAAGUAACCAAGACACUGAGACACAGUACUAACCCCACAGUUUAACGAAGGAAAUAUUUCAUUGGGACCUCAGGUUCUGAGGACUCAGUCCACGACUGGCUGGCUCACAAACAAAACCAUCAUGGUAAAGGGAUGCAACAGAGCAAAGGUGCUCGUUUCAAGCUCAGGGAUGCUGCAUUCCUGCAGCAUUCUUGCCAGCUCACUGAGGGCAAGGGAAGCCAGCCCCAUGCCAAGAGAGCAGAUAGAAGGCCUGUGCACCCCACCGAGGGACUCUGAAGAUCCCCUCUGGAGAGUGACUGGCCCACCAAUCUUGAGGCACCGUGCCUGUGUUGUUUUUUGAUUGUUUGUUGUUUGAGACAAUGUCUUGCUGUAUAAUGCAGGCUGUCCUUGAACUUGGUUAUCUAGCAACGGCUGGCCUUGAACUCAUGGAGAUCCUCCUGCCUAGGCCUCCCAAGUCUGGGAUUACAGGUGUGCACCACCACAGCUGGCAACAAUGAGUGAAUAUAAAAAUCAAUCCAAAGCUAUGGGAAUGUAGGCAGCUCGGAGCUCCCUGAGCUCAAGGGGACUGAGAUGGAAGGGGAGAACAUAAAAACGACUGAGAUGUGCUACAUGAUGGGUUCUGCCUGUGUGAAGCUCUGCCAGGCUCUGCAAUGAGCCUGGCCAAUAUGGCCCUGGACAGUGCCUCCCUUCAAGACUGACUCCCACAUUCUUCUUGCAAAUGUGAAAAUUGAAAUCCCUGCUUCUCUUGCACAAGCCAACAUCCCCAAGUCAGCUGUCUCAACCUCUCCCUGCCCACCCCUUCAACUCCACCUGUCAAACUAAAGAAAAGCCCAGGGCUUCUCUGUUUGAGCAGAGGGGACCUUGCACUCUCCUGCAGCCCUCCCGUACCUGCAAUA